CUCUCGCUUUCUUCAUCAGUCUGGAGCACUGAAAGUUUCUUCCAAUUCUGAGUUUCUGUGCGCUGGAGUAAUCUAAAACAAAUACUUUUUUAAAUGUGAUUUUUUUGGGUCUCUGAAUUGCUAAAGUAAAAUAUCUUCCUUGUAGAAAGUUUGUACCAUACCGAGAAUCAGAAAGGAAAUAAAUUCAUCAUAAUUUUACCACUUAGGAGUAAUCACUGUUUAACAUUCUACUUUGAUAAUUAGCCUAUUAUUACGCAUAUAUUCCUUUUAAGAUUUUUUUUUUUUUAAUUUAUUUGAGAGAGAGAGAGAGAAAGAGAACGGGCAGGGAGAGUGGCAGAGGGAGAGGCAGAAGCAGGGAGCCUGAUGAAGAACUUGAUCCCAGGACCCUGGGACCAUGACCUGAGCUGAAGGUGGACGCUUCACCAAUGGAGCCACCCAGGCGCCCUGCAUAUAUUCCUUUGAUGAGGUCAAGAACAACUACUUUUUUGUUGGUCCACGAAUUCCCAUAGAACUAGAGCUGGUACGUGAAGUGCCCCGAACCGGGCUAAGAGCAGACAAAGGGAGCAGUCGCAAUGCUGAGGAUGAAAAAAAUCAGACUCACCCAAAGCCAGACGGAGAUGCUGAGGCUGGAGGGAGGCCGCUCGCCACAAACCGGCACCUCCAGCCCUGCCAAUACCAGGGGCCCUUGAUUUAUAGCAGCCAAGCCUGAAGCUCGUGCCAACGUUUCUCACGUAGAAAUGUCAGAAGAAAUCCCAGUGCCAUCGAACAAGACCUUUAUUCCUCCACCUGCACAUUAUGACUCUAAUAAACACGUUAUCAGCCCAUGAAAAUGAUGGCAAACAGGUGACUGAAGGAUUUGUUAAGUCAGCAGCAAAGAUUAACAGUUCUUUUCAGAGAAAGCUGUGAGAGGUUCCCCCGUUUAAAACAAUUGUGGCAUGCGAAUUUUCAGCACUUAAAUCAUUAUCGGCAAUUAGUCCUUGUCAAAAAGGUUGCAGCUGGCUUCAAUUACAGGGGGAGAAGGCAGCACAUUACAAGGGACUGAACUGCAGUGGAGGACUAGGCGGAGAGUUGGUAGAGCAGCAUGAAUGUUUGCAGAGAUGAAGCACCACCAUGCUUCUCCAGUCACAGUUGCCUAUGGGUCAUCCAUUUCGUUGCCGCUAAAGAAGCCAACAGCCUGAUGGGCCUUCCCGGGUGCCCCUCCAUGCAUUCCCAGGGGCGUCACUCACUAGACGUUCUUAGAUGAAUAAGUAGAGGUUUCGAGAAGUGCAGACCGGAGCCCAGGCCUCCACAGAGACGAACUGGUGGUGCUGGGAUUCGAGUCAGGUCUGAGCCCGGCCAAGUCCACAGUCUUUCCCCAGCGCCAUGCUCCUCCAGCCCCCGAGUGCCUGCCUUACCUGACACCCCACCCUGCAGCCAGAGGGCUCAGCACCUCCCUGCCAUGGUUUUGAUGAGAUAACUGUAGCUUAAAAAGAGUGAACAGAUAAAAGUCCAACAGUGAACUACAUUAUUUUAUAUUAUAUGGCGAACUCUCUUACUUUUGAUAUUUGAUAACUCCAGCCUCCAUUGUAUCCUGAUGCUCAGUGAAUCCCAACAUUGGUCUUACUGCACCACCACCCCGCUCACCUGCUGGCUGAACUCUCUGGGUAAUGGUCAAGGCCCUCUGGCUCCACGUGCCAUAGAAACUUCCCAACACGCAUUCACUCAUCCGACAUCCAUUUACGGAGCAUCCGCUCUGAUGCAAGGCCCUUGUCCACGUGCGGGACUUUCUGGUUUGUUUAGAGGCCAUUGCUAUUUUGGUGAGCAAUAAAAUAAAGACCUACACAACUUAUAAAUUAUCAUCCGUUUAUUCUAGAUGAAAUUUUCUUCCCAUAACUUCAGCAAAAUAAUUAUACUGUUAUACUUAAGAUUCCCACAAAAUUUGUGUCCUAUUAACAGCGAAUAUCUAAAUGCUUAAAAUACGAAGUGCAACUGUUUUCAAAGUAUAUAAAAUUUGAAUGCAUUUUCAUUAAGGUCUAAGUUUUAAAUAUGCUUAAAAUUCAAAAUAUUAAAGUUAUUUUUCACAUGUUUUCAAAGAGU